GACGAACGCUGGCGGCGUGCCUAAUACAUGCAAGUUGAGCGCUGAAGGUUGGUACUUGUACCGACUGGAUGAGCAGCGAACGGGUGAGUAACGCGUGGGGAAUCUGCCUUUGAGCGGGGGACAACAUUUGGAAACGAAUGCUAAUACCGCAUAAAAACUUUAAACACAAGUUUUAAGUUUGAAAGAUGCAAUUGCAUCACUCAAAGAUGAUCCCGCGUUGUAUUAGCUAGUUGGUGAGGUAAAGGCUCACCAAGGCGAUGAUACAUAGCCGACCUGAGAGGGUGAUCGGCCACAUUGGGAAUGAGACACGGCCCAAACGCCUACGGGAGGCAGCAGUAGGGAAUCUUCGGCAAUGGACGAAAGUCUGACCGAGCAACGCCGCGUGAGUGAAGAAGGGUUUCGGAUCGUAAAACUCUGUUGGUAGAGAAGAACGUUGGUGAGAGUGGAAAGCUCAUCAAGUGACGGUAACUACCCAGAAAGGGACGGCUAACUACGUG
rnacentral:rRNA from 1 species